rnacentral:sRNA from 1 species
GCUGGGCAUGGUGGUGCGUGCCUGUAAUCCCAGCUACUCAGGAGGCUGAGGCAGGAGAAUCGCUUGAACCCGGGCGGCAAAGGUUGCAGUGAGCCAAGAUCGUGCCACUGCACUCCAGCCUGGGUGACAGAGCGAGACUCCGUCUCAA